UGAAUAGUACAGGGGAGCCGAUAUGUGGCUGAGACGGGCUUUGCCCGGACCCUCAUACCUGAUCAGGGUAAUGCCUGCGUAGGAAUGUUACGAACGGUGCACAC
rnacentral:ncRNA from 1 species